ACAAAAGUAGAAUUAAGACAUCCGGGAUAAAUGACUCAGCUGAGCUCAAUGAAGCCAAAACAUGUGCGUCCAGGCUUAAUUGGUUGCACAAAGACCAAGCCAGGAUGAGCAGACACGGAUUCAUUAAGCCAGGUGAAACCAAUCCUGGAUAGGUGCGCGCUCACGGCUCACUCAAAUAGACCCCGCCACAGAUCACAGAUGAACUGAUUUACCAUGGCAACUAGAGCCGCGUACUUUUCCCGUCGGAAGCACAAAUCCUCAUGGAGGCAUACGAGGAGGUAAAAUAUAUAAUUAAGAAGAAAGGCAACACCGCCACAGUGAUAAAGCAAAGAGAAAAAGCGUGGCAAAGUAUUGCAGACCGCCUGAAUGCAUUAAACAUGAACGGGCCAAAACGGACAUGGCAGCAGGUCAAAAUCAAAUACAAGAACAUUCUGCAGAAUGCAGUGAAAAAGAAUACCCACAGACAAGGCACGGGUGGUGGGUCACCAAAGGCUGACCUUACCCCAGCAGAGGACAUGGCCUUGGAGCUAAAUAAAGGCAGGCCCGUCUUAGAGGG
ensembl:lncRNA